AUGGACGGAGAGCGUGUGGAACGGGGAAGCCGCCACCCUAAGAAGAAGGGGAAGCAUCGUCAUGAAGAGGGGAAGGCAAAGGAUAAGUCGAAGCGUCACAGAGACAAAGAGGCAACUGGCACUGAUGUGGCUUCAGAUAUCCGAGAAAACGGCAAGGAAGAGGCUGUGAUAGGCAUCGCGGAGGAGGGGGAAGGCCGCAAGAGCAAGAAAGGGAAGGGCCGCCAUGAGGAGAAGAACAAGGUGAAUGUUUCAGUCGUUUCCGGCAGCAUAGAGAACGGUGCUGGUGAGGAGCAGGCCAAGAAGUCGGGCUCAAUGGCAAUGAAGCCUUGUUCGGAGGGUGCCACGGACAAAGUCAAUGUGAAGAAAGACAAGAAGAAAAAGGAUAAAAAGAAAGAGAAAGAAGCUGAGGCGACCGAGCAGAAGCAGAGUUUUGAUACUACUGUUGGUAAGGAGCAAGCUGAACCUUCUAGCUUGAUGGCGGUAAAGCCCCGUGUGGACUUUGCCGAGGGUGAUACGAGCAAAGACAAUGUGAAGAAAGACAAGAAGAAAAAGAAGGAGGAGAAGAAGGAAGAGAAAGAAGCUGAGACGACUGGGCAGAAGCAGACAUUUGACACUACUGUUGAAAAUUCAGGGGCAGAGCCUACAGAGAGAGACACGGUUGACGGAAAACAGUCUAGCAAGUCAAAGAAGAGCAAACGUAAGCAUAAUGAUGGUGCACCUGCCGUAGAGGUUUCUGCUGGCGAUCAAAUCGUGACAAGGGAAGAUAAGAAGAGAAGGAAGGAACCAGUUGUGCUGGAAGCGAGCAACCAAACCCAAAACACAAAUGAAGGUGAGAAUAGAGAGAUUAAGAAGAGAGGAAAGGAAAGCAGUAAAGCCAGUCCAGACUUUAGUGAGAAUGCAUCUGCUGGGGGAGAGGAAGCUGGUUUAGGUGUUAAUAAUGAUAAGAAGAAAAAGAAGAGCAAGGGGAUUGGAGGAGGAAAAAAAAAGAAAGAAAAGGCAGCUCGGUCAACAAAGGGUAAGCGGGUGAGUUCUGCUGAUUCCGUGGAGAUGUUUAGAACCGAAGGUGGUGAUGGUGAUGGGAUUGGAGGAAGAAAAAAGAAAGAAAAGGCAGCUCCAUCAAAGAAGAAAGGCAAGCGAGUGAGCUUUGCUGAUUCUGCGGAGGUGUUUAGCAUCGAAGGUGGUAAUAAUGAAGAGGAUGUCAGCAGUGAUGAAUCUAAACGUGUGCAUGGUCGGUUUACCCCAGAGGAAGACGCCACCCUCAUGGAAGCUAUGAGGGGUUACGCAGAGAUGAAGCAACUGGGGGAGAAAGGUUUAGAGAUGAUUGGGUCUUGUCGUAAAUACCCAGAGCUCAAGGGUUGUUGGGAUGAUAUAGCGAAAUCGUUACCCCAUAGACCUUACUUGGCGAUAUACAGGCGAGCACAUACAUUACUCUAUAGGAGCACCGGAUGUAAAUGGACACAUGAAGAAAAAGAGCAGAUUCAGCAGUUUGUCGAGAAAAAUGGCACAGAUUGGAAAACACUGGCACAGGAACUUGGAAAGAGUGAGAUCCAUGUAAAACAUGCUUGGAGAAGAAUAAAACCUAAGAAGAAAAAAGGUGCUGAUGAUGAAGAGGAUGUCAGCGGUAGUGAAUCUGAACUUGUACAUGGACAUCGGUUUACCGCAGAGGAAGAUGCCAUCCUCAUGGAAGCUAUGAGGGAUUACGCAGAGCUGAAACAACUGGGAGAGAAAGGCUUAGAGAUGAUUGGCUCUUGUAGUAAAUACCCAGAGCUCAAGGGUUGUUGGGAUGAUAUAGCGAAAUCGUUACCCCAUAGACCUCACGAGGCCAUAUACCAUCGAGCGCGUAUAUUACUCUAUAGGGGUGCUGAACGUAAAUGGACAGAUGACGAAAAAGAGAAGAUUCGGCGGUUUGUCGAAAUCAAUGGAACGGAUUGGAAGACAUUGGCUCGGGAACUUGGAAAGAGUGAGAUCCACGUAAAAGAUACUUGGAGAAGAAUGAAACCUAAGAACUUGAAAAAAGGACGUUGGACUCAGGAUGAACACCAGAACUUGUUUGAUUUGGUGAACCUUGACUUGCGUCUGAAAGCCCAUCAAAUAAAAAAUCCUGAUCAUCGGAUGCUAAGAGAUAACAUUUCCUGGGAGGCCAUCAGUGAUAAAUUGACCACCCGUAAUCACAAGAAUUGUUGCCUCAAGUGGUACGAAACAUUAGCAUCUCCGAUGGUCAAGGAAGGAAUCUGGUCUGAUGUUGAUGAUUAUCUACUGGUGGAAGCGCUUCAAAAGGUUGAUGCUGUCUGUAUUGAAGAUGUUGACUGGGACAGCCUACUUGAUCACAGGUCUGGGGAGGUUUGUCGUCAAAGAUGGAACCAGAUGGUCCGCGCCAUUGGUGGCCACAGGGAGAAGCCUUUCAUCGAACAAGUGGAAGUGCUGUCGAGGCGCUACUGCCCAGAAAUGAUUGAAUACAGAAGUGAGGAAAAAGUGUAG
rnacentral:rRNA from 1 species